rnacentral:lncRNA from 1 species
ACUCAGUGUUGAGUUUUUCUGUUGGUUUUGAGGUAGGCAAUGGCAGCAAUUCCUUCCUGGUUGCCUGUGGAAUAUCACCAGUGGCUCCUGUCUAAGUUACUCAUCCAAACUUUAACAUAUGAGCAGGCCCUCGGAACUUUGUUAAAAUUGCCAAGCAAAUUGUUAAUGAGAGUAAACUGAUGAAUUCAGAUAAUCUUGUGGAUAAACAAGAAACAUGGGGAUAAAUACACUAACGCUGAUGUAAAAAGCUAGAACAUUUAAUAACUAAGGUCAGAUGGGCAUUAGUUCU